AAGAUACUGAGGAAUAAAAAUAUCCAAAAUUGCAAUUACGAUAGAAGGGGAAUCGUGCGAGAGAAAAUAAAAGACUAGAAGAGAUAUUAGAAUGUAACACCGAAAUUGGGGGGAAAAAAUGGGAAAGAGACAAAGUUCUCCAUCUCGCUCUUCUUCUGUCUCUUCCUCUCCUUCGAUGCACACCAUCCAAAUAUAACGGCCACGCUAAUUCACGUCCAGCAGCCGUAGCCACCAAAAUAUGAAUCCACCUUAGACGCAAAUAUAGACGAAGGUAUUUCUGGAUCAGCCGAGAACAGCCAAUGAAGACUGGUGAGAGUCCUUGUCCACCGCUGCUUCAGAAUGCGGCGAAUGUCGCGCGGAAAGAUGGGACAGCGGAUGAGAGAAGAACGCGAGAAAGAAGAGGACACUUUCGAAGCACAAACUCUCGACCAAAUAAACUACAUCUAAUUCUGUUUCUACACGAUCUUAUCUCGAUGUAAAAAAGAAAAGAAAAGAAAGAUUCUUUUCGAACUCGAUUUAAUUCGACUCAACGCGAGUUAAACGGGACCAUUUUAAAAAUGUCCAUUCGAAUUUACUCGUUCGCCCACGAAAAGCUUCCCUCGGUAUUAUCUUCACGUUGUUUCGAUAGACGAAAGCGACUUAAAAUUCCAGUUGAUAAAUAAGAUGUUCAUACCAUCUGUUCGAAAACAGUGUAUCGUUUAUUGCGUAUUUUCACGUCUGGCUGCGAUCUUUCAUUUUCCACACGCACUGUAUCCCUCGCACCGGAUUUUUACCAAUCUACCGUGUAAAAAUAGAAUUCGAUGUGCGUUACGUAAUAAAUCAGCGAAUGAAUAAAUUAGCGAUCGAUUAAUCAAAUUCGCGAUUAUUCCGCUGCGAGAGAGCAAUGGAAUUUCAUUAUUUCUGUCUCGAUACUAUCGAUGAGGAUCCUCGAAAGGGUGUGCGAAAUAUCUGGUCGAAACGCGAAGACAAGGAAACGUGUAAAUG
rnacentral:misc_RNA from 1 species